CACGUAGGGGGCGAGCGUUGUCCGGAUUCAUUGGGCGUAAAGCGCGCGCAGGCGGCUCGGAAAGUCGGGUGUGAAAACUCGGGGCUCAACCCCGGGCGUGCAUCCGAUACUGCCGGGCUUGAGGCAGGUAGGGGAGAUCGGAAUUCCUGGUGUGAGCGGUGGAAAUGCGCAGAUAUCAGGAGGAACACCGGUGGCGAAAGCGGGUCUCUGGGCCGAUACUGACGCUGAGGAGCGAAAGCGUGGGGAGCGAACAGG
rnacentral:rRNA from 1 species